GUGUCGUGAGAUGUUGGGUUAAGUCCCGCAACGAGCGCAACCCUUGUCCUGUGUUGCUAACCGAAAGGUGCACUCUCAGGAGACCGCCAGCGAUAAGCUGGAGGAAGGUGGGGAUGACGUCAAGUCAUCAUGGCCUUUAUGUCCAGGGCUACACACGUGCUACAAUGGACGGUACAGACCGUCGCAAACCCGCGAGGGGGAGCAAAUCGGAAAAAACCGUUCUCAGUUCGGAUUGCAGGCUGCAACUCGCCUGCAUGAAGCUGGAAUCGCUAGUAAUGGCAUAUCAGAACGAUGCCGUGAAUACGUUCCCGGGCCUUGUACACACCGCCCGUCACAUCACGAAAGUGGAUUGUACUAGAAGUCUGCCACAAGCGGCCCAAGGUAUGAUUCAUGAUUGGGGUGAAGUCGUAACAAGGUAACC
rnacentral:rRNA from 1 species